rnacentral:misc_RNA from 1 species
GUACAGUAGCUACUAUAAAGUCUCCUGGGCCACGAACGACAUACUUGGCCAUGCAAUUUCAUUCGUGUAAUUCGUUAAAUAUUUCAUCCAUAAUACACCAAAUGAUCUACUUACAUUCGCGACGACGUCGCGACGCACCGCGAACGUAAAGGGGUUAAACUUAAAAUCGCGUCUCGUAGUUACCAGUUGGGCCUCAUCAAGCAAACAGAGAAAUUCUAUUUAACAUGGUCAAAGCGAAUCGUCAUUAGCCUCGCCGAAGUUGCUCGCAAUCAGGACUUCUCUUUGCCACACUUCACGAAGAGGAGGAUCCGCGAGGAAACGAACGGCGCCGCCAGUCUUUUAAAAACCUUAAAACACCACCGGGUCGACGCAUCCACGUCACUCGGUCUGAGAGUAAAGUUUUCAGACUGCUCAGGGAUAUUAGGCGAUGGCAGGCACAGAGAACUACCUAGUGCUACGCAAGGAGAG